UAUUACCAAAUGUUAAAAAAAUUGAUAGAUCAGAAGUUAAAAUAAGUAAAUAUAGAUUCAUCAAAGUAUGCAGUUGAUAGUAGAGUAAAUGAUUUUCCUUGGAGACCCAUCCCAGGAUGCCUGCAGCCUUUCAACUCUUUAAGGGAAUUUUAACAUUUAAAUAGAGAAAAUUUAUAUUGUAAACAGUAUAUUUGCUACCAACUUUGAAAAUAAAAGUAAUAAUAAAAUUUCAUUGACAUGAUAGACUAUAUAAGCUCUAUUUUUUCAGUUGGUAUUAAAUCACAUUUUGAUACCUAGCCUGGACAGGCUGUCUUCUAAUUAAAGAUCUCAUCAACCUCAUUUUGACAGCAUUAAUCAUUUACAAAGAAAAUUUUAAAUAGACUCAUUACUGCUGUGAUUAUUAGAAUUAUAACGUGAUUGUAUCGUAGUUUUGCUCUAUUUCAGAUAAGCAAGUUGAUCUAAGAAGUUUAUCAAAACUAUUCUUAAAAUGCUAAAGCAGGGAAAGAAAACAAAGCUUUUAUCUAAUCUAGAGGAAAGUACUCCCCAACAGUAAAAACAACAUUUUUGAGUCAAAGAUCAGUUAAGAAUACUUACCUUAUAUAUAGCAGCAUAUUAAAGAGAAAUGUUUUUUAAAGUUGUUUACAAAUGUUUGCUGUUUUUUGUUGUUUUCUUUUUUUGCUGAAGUGUAUUAGAGUUUUGAAUAUCUUUUUCCUCCCAAGUUUCUUUUAAUACUCCUAGCUUUACCCUGCCUGUAGCUAGAAACCUGAGGCCUUUUUUGUGAAAUAUUAGUUUCUUUCUCUAAGUAUAUGUGUUUUUCAGCUGUCACCAUCUCUCUCCUUCAAGUAGGAAGCUGUGCUUCUCCCUCUGUCAUUAGAACAUUUUAUGUAAGAUGAUGCAGAAAUCUUUGUGCAUACUGUAUAAUUAAAGGAAGCUUUUAAGAUUUAUUUUUGUUUGUAAUAAAAAUCAGAUUAUUAUUCUAAA